AUUGAACGCUGGCGGCAUGCCUUACACAUGCAAGUCGAACGGCAGCGGGGGAGAAGCUUGCUUUUCCUGCCGGCGAGUGGCGAACGGGUGAGUAAUACAUCGGAACGUGCCCUGUAGUGGGGGAUAACUAGUCGAAAGAUUAGCUAAUACCGCAUACGACCUGAGGGUGAAAGUGGGGGACCGCAAGGCCUCAUGCUACAGGAGCGGCCGAUGUCUGAUUAGCAAGUUGGUGGGGUAAAGGCCUACCAAGGUGACGAUCAGUAGCUGGUCUGAGAGGACGAUCAGCCACACUGGGACUGAGACACGGCCCAGACUCCUACGGGAGGCAGCAGUGGGGAAUUUUGGACAAUGGGCGAAAGCCUGAUCCAGCAAUGCCGCGUGUGUGAAGAAGGCCUUCGGGUUGUAAAGCACUUUUGUCCGGAAAGAAAUGGCUCUGGUUAAUACCUGGGGUCGAUGACGGUACCGGAAGAAUAAGGACCGGCUAACUACGUGCCAGCCGCCGCAGUAA
rnacentral:rRNA from 1 species